rnacentral:rRNA from 1 species
UACGAAGGGGGCUAGCGUUGUUCGGAAUUACUGGGCGUAAAGGGAGCGUAGGCGGAUAGUUUAGUCAGAGGUGAAAGCCCAGGGCUCAACCUUGGAAUUGCCUUUGAUACUGGCUAUCUUGAGUAUGGAAGAGGUAUGUGGAACUCCGAGUGUAGAGGUGAAAUUCGUAGAUAUUCGGAAGAACACCAGUGGCGAAGGCGACAUACUGGUCCAUUACUGACGCUGAGGCUCGAAAGCGUGGGAGCAAACAGGAUU